GGCGCGGGGUGCGGGUCGCCGUUGUUAUGGAGACGCGCCCCGCGUGGCGGGGCCGGUCCGCGCCCGCCCCGGGCCGGGACCGCGGCGCUCCGCCGGGGAGAGCGGCCGGGGCGCGGGGCGGGAGCCGCCCGGUGCGGCGGCAGCCUGCGAGCAUCCUCGCACGCUCCGUGCGCUCCCGCAGGUGACAUCAGUGCUAUUAAAGGCAGUACCCCUGUUGUGAUGAGCUCUGUAUGUAGACUGCAGAACAGUUUGGUGUUCUUUGGUUAUUUCUACCAUGACUCUUCCCUUUUGACUGGCAAGUGAAGAAUAAAGUUUUUGGAGUUCAUUUGGCACUUUGUUUCUCAGUUUUCUCUGCAGCUCUGACUCUCAGGUUGUUGAUCACAGCUCUGUUGCAGCUCCCCCAGUCAUGGACCCUGUGGGUAACAGCUCACAACACUCAAAGCUGUUCUUUAUAGCUUCAUGUCAAAACCUACAGGCUGGGAUGAAACUAAAUCUGAAGAAGAUGAAGGUUUAUUUUCAAAAUUCAAGCACAUAAACUGAAUCAAAUGGACUUAUUGCUAACAAUGCAGAUUGCAUUUGCAAUCAAGUGUAGUUUUUACUAUUCACAUUACAUAUUCUAUAAAAGCAAGUAUAGCUUAAUCAUAGCCAAAUAUGUUCUGUAAACAUCAUUGCCUCUUUUUAUUAAAGGAGGGAUGGAGUGCUGCCGACUUCUAGAAGAUCAGGAACCAUCUGUUCUAAGCAGUAAUGCUUACUGCUACCUGCUCUGUGACGUUGUUGUUUAGGGUUGAUUUUAGCUUAGUUCUGGCUUGUGUCUCUUUGGUCAAGGGAGCUAAAGAAAGUUCCUAAGGAGGGCAUAGGUAAAGACUCCUGAGUUACAAGUUGUGAUUGGAACUUGCCAUUGAAAACUCAGUUACUGUUUGCAGUAAAAACUUCCUUUUUUUCAUCUUCCUUUGUUGCUGUCUCUUUUUUAUGGUAGGAAGAAAGCAAAAAAAAAAAAAAAAAGUGCUGUUUUCCAACAAAAAGCACAAUUCUAGCCUGUGGAGCUUCUAAUAUGGUUAGAACUCCAGAGUGCAUGGUUAGCUGUUAGGCAUUCUUACUUAUCCUCAGACUUUAUUUUCUGAAGUUAAUUCCCUUUUAUAUGGAGAAAUAAAGGCAGUGAAGCAGCCAGGGUGUAGCUGUGGAGGAAUCAGUUGUUCUCUUGUGACACGCGUGGUUCUAUCUUUGUUUUCUUCUCUGUCCUUUUUCUGAGGAAGCAGGAUAAGAAACCAGGAAGAACAAACCUGGCAGUGCCCCAUAGGUGUGUCUCACUGCCUGCCAUAAGCUGAUUCUUGUUGAUGCCAGAGCUGCUUCUGCCUGACUUCUUCAUUAGCCAUAGUUUUGCCUUUCUGUGUCCUCAUCAAACAGAGAUGGCAGCUCCUGGCGAGCUCUUCAUCUGAGUUCACUUGUGUGUUCACACUAAUGUUUAAAAACGUGGGGUGCUGAAAAAGUGACUGACGGAAAGAGUCAUCUAAAAGCAGGCAGAGGGGAAUAGAAUCAACGGAUCAAUUCUGUAAUGUGCUUAUUGGAUAAUAACAGUAUUGAGCCAAAAGAUAAAUCCAGAUGCAGACAAAAGGGAUGUGGAAUUAAGUGACCAAUUCUGCAGUGGGCUUGUUGGGUAAGAGCAGAGUGGCACCAGAGGGCUGAUGGCACUUCUCUGGCCUGAGAAAAUGGAAUCAUCACUUCUCUCAAAGAUGAGUAUUAAUGGACAAAUUUCUGUUGUGUAAAUCAAUAUCUAGGUAGGCAUUGCAUCAGCAGCUUAGAUGAUUCAGCUCACCCAUGUGAGAUUUCGAUUUCCUGUCACAAGUGAAGAGUAAGAGCAAAUAUUGUAUUAGCCACAUUAAUUUCAUAUCUUGAAUAUUAGAAUAGCUAAGCAGGCAGUGGGAAGAUGCAGUACACUGCAUUUCUUGUCCAAAAGCAGAAUAGAAGUGAAGAAGCCAAGAGAAUUCUUCUGUCAGAAGUGCCUGGGUUUGGUGUGGCACAGCCUUUCCUUAGAAAAAUUAUUAGCCUUAAGGGGAAAGCUGCUGCUACUUACUGUUUGUUACAGAGCACUUGAGGAUAACAGUGGGGUGCUGUCCAAGGCUAGGAUUAGGCAGCUGCAAAGCACUCAAAGAUUUUGGAUAUAUUCCUGACUGGAGGCUUUGGGAAACCAAGUAAUAUAACCAAGUGUUACUGUGUUGGAGAAUGGGUAUGUGUGACUUUACACCUAGCAGUUGACUUCUUGAGCAAGCUCACCUGCCUUCUUGCAGCACAGUGUAAAUGUCCUGCCUGUCAAGGUAGUUCUUAAGAGUCUUUAGAAGGGGCAAUUCUUUAUUUUUCUCUGGUAUUUUUUGUUGCCCAUGCUGCCUGUCAUAAGCCAACAUAGCUUUUGUGCUAUAAGAAAGGCAGUGGAUUUUUGUAGAUAUGAUGAUAGACAUUUACUUAGUUUUAUUUAAUUCCUAUUCAUGGAAGCUGAGUAGCUGAAGCUAAUGAAGCAGUGAAGACCACCUAGCUGGUGAACUAUUUGAGACUGAACCGAAAUGCUUUAUCCCUCAGCAAGACUUUGUUCUUCAGGAACCACAAUAGAUAAAUGGGCAAGUCAUAUAGAGUCUCAGUGAUUUUAUUUCCACAUCAAAUAAUGAUGUGCUGUGGUUAGUGUAUUUUUGUAGUGAAAUAGUACUGUUUGAAGCCUGGUAAAAAUGCUGCUCUUUGAAGGAAGAAACAUGGACAUUGAAAAAACUACCUUUGAAACCAGAUUUAGAACUUUUUAAUUUGCUCUUCCUCUAAGCUGUGUCUUUUGAGUUUUUUAUUUAACUUACAGUUAUGUCCCACAAAUCCUAAAUCUAGUAAUCUGUCAGAAGUUAUUUUCAAAUGUUCUGUUAGAAAUACAUGUUACAGUGCAGUGAGGGAAGAGGGUUCAAGACUGAUGGCCUAGUCAAUUUGGAAGUGUAGCUUCUAAUUUUUUUGCUAUUUGAAAUUGCUCUAGUGUUAAUGGAAUCUAUUAUGUACGUGGAAAACAGGAUGAUGCUGUGUUUCUUUCCAGAAAAAAAAUACUGUCUUUGCUAAUGGAGUUGAAUCAUAUAUAUUUUCACUUUUUGUUAUACAUAUAGUAAACAUUUCUACCAAUAAAACAUGUUUUAAAACCUUUUAGUUGGUCUGGAUUUUUAUGAAUGUAAAAGCAAGACAGAAAUUCAAAACAUUCUAUGUACGUGUUUAAAUUUCCAGGAGCAGAUGGCAUUGUUGAGGGUGGACUCUGGGGAGUGUAAGAAUUUUUGAAGUGUAAUUUCUGAUUUCGUUUCAGUCCAGACACGUCUUCAUGAGCUGUCUAUGUAGAAAGACUUUCUCUAAUGAUUUUUGUUAUAAGGUGUGAGAAGUAAUCCACCAUAAACAUUCUCAGCUGUUUGUAGCCAAAAUAAGUUGAUGAGUUAAUUGAUUGAUACUUGGCAAAUUUUUGUCUUGACAUUUACUGAGUCAUGCUGUGUUCUGAAACUCUUGUAGGUGUUUGACGUAUCAGCCAAUUCAGCUAAUGCUAAAAAUACUUAACAAGAGUUACAAUAAGAAGCUGAUUUUCAGUGCACUUCAAGAAUGCACCUUCCAUUAUCUGCUCAUUGUCCAAACACCCAGCAAUCCAUUCAGGACAGAUUUCCAGUGAAGUUUUUGCUUCUAAGGGACUCAUUCAGCUGGUCCUAACUCCUUGCAGUGGCUGUGAGCUGUCUUGUGGAAAUUGGCUGGAUAUACACUGUGUGUGUUUAUCACUUGGGUGUGUUAGCUGCUAGCACAACAGGAUUAAAACCCAGUUAUAGAUUGUGUAGGUCCUGCCAUCCCUGUUGAAUUUCCCCUGUGGGAUUUGAUGGAACAGUUCACAGAGCAGAUUGUCUUUCAGGAAGGAAGAGACAGUACAGAAAGGUUACAGUAGUAAACAAAUGCUGACCUGCAGCAUUCAGCAGCCAGUUUUGCUGAAGACUAAAUUAUGUGUGCAUUUAGACCCAAACUCGAGACAUUUUGUUGUGCUUUGUUAAUCCAAACAAACAGCAACUAAGUGGAAAAGGUACAUCCAACAAGGAGUGAGGGGGUAGAGUCUGUGGGAUUAAAACUUGAGAAAACAUUUCAGGAAGCUUGAAGACUUCUAUGAAAUGCAAUACUUGUCAGAUUGAUUAAUUGAUGCUCAAGUCUGUCUUCCUCUAUCCUUUGGAAAUACAGCUGUCAUGCUUUGAGCUCAAUAAUGAUUUAAAAAACCUAAUUUUCACAUACAUUAGUUUUCUUAUAUGCCUUUCUGUUACCAUGUGUGAUGGGAAGUUGGUGCUGCUGCCUCUGUAGGUUGAUUUCAUCCCACUCAGGGUCAUACAGGUGCAGAAGGACUGCACAAACACCUGAGUUAGACUCUGCAAAUGGUUUAAGCCUAGUUCCAUGUUUCCAGGAAGGCUGUCUCCCUGUGCAGAGUUCUUUUGGUGGAGCCUCUUGGGAUGGAACAAGGGGUGAUGGUUUUAAACUGAAGGAGAGUUGAUUUAGAUUAGAUAUAAGAAGAAUUUUUUACAAAGAGUGUGGUGAUAACACCUGGAGUAGGUUGCUGAGAGAGGUGGUGGGUGCCCCAUGUCUGCAGGGGUUCAAGGGCAGGUUGGAGGGGACUUUAAACAGCCUGGUAUAGUGAAAGGUAUCCUUGCCCAUGGCAGUGGGGUUGGAAUUAAAGAUCUCUUCUAACCAAAGCCAGUACAUGAUUCUAUGAUUUCCAGAUAUCCCAGGUGCUAAACUGGAGAUUUGCUUCUCUCUGCAUUGAAGGGCAUACAGCUCAGAAUCAUCUAAUUGUGUUUCUCUGCAUUCUUAAAAUACCAUUUGUCAUUAUGAAAUGAGUACACAAAUGACAAAACUACAUUUGUCUUCUUUGCAGCUUUCAGAGAAUGCAACUUCACUAAUGCAAGCAAAGUGUUAAACUCUAGGAAAGCCAAAACUGGACAAGAGUGUGUAAUGUCAGCAUGGGGUGCUACUUGGAAAAAAUGCACUGAUAGUGAAAUGAUUUCAUGUCUAGCAAUGUUUCUUUGAUGUUUGUCUGGUAGCUGUGUCCUCUGUUCACUGAGGACUAGCAGCAGCUCUCAUGACUGUAUCAUCCAGUUUAAUUGUAAAGGAGCUUUUAUAAUGCCCCAGAGCAAGGAAAUACCAUCUCACAAAUGGAAUGCCUAGUAAUUGAAACAGGUUUAUUAGUUGCUAAAAUCACAACAUUCAAUAUUUAGUGUAUUUACAAGCAUUUUAUUAUCAUAAAAAUAAUGUUUUAAAAUGGAGCCUUAGUAAAGACUUUUAGAAGGAAAUGAGAGAAUCAAAUCAGAACUGAUGUCAAGUGUUCUGGACAGCACCAGAAGAUCAGAGAACAAAUGAAUAAAUUAUAAUCACUGUUUUAGAGGAAAGCUUGUAAAUGAGUUUUAUCAUUACUGCAGUGACUGAAGACAUUUAGAUAUUUAAAUAUCCAGGCAUAGAUGAAUGCAUUGACAUAAUAGUAGCAACUAUGUCUUUAUUAAUUGACUUAAAUUGCACCUGUGCAGUAUGAAGGUAGCAAAAAUAUGACCCUGAAAGCUAAAUUAUUCAUUAAUUUAAUUAUUUGUAUAUUCUUUGACAUUUACAUUAAUCUCUGUUUUUAGGACAGAAGAGAAACUGUUUCCAGGGUUGUUUUGCCAGUUUAGUAGACACUUUAGAAGUGUCUGCUGACUCCAGUCUUUGUUUGAGCUCAAGGCAUGGUGCUGUUCAUAAACCUAACACUGGGCAUUGUUUCUGUUCUCAGGCAGAAGGGAAGAAAUAAGUCCUGUCCUUGAAAAAAAAAUUUGGCUUUUGUUCCUUUGUGAUGGAACUGUAUUACCCUGCUUGGUGAGGAGAAGCUUUUGUGCAGAUUAUAGAGUCUCCAUUUCUUUGUGCAGACAUUGAUAAGAAUUGUGAAUUAGCUUAUCUUUGCCAUUUAAUGAGAUUUCUGUUAAGAGAAGCUGAGAACUAAGCACUUAUUGUGUGUUCAAGGGUUGACUUAGUUUUGUUUACGUCUAAAGUCACUGGUAAUUUUAUUUACAGUUUUAUAAUAAAUUGAUAAUUUUUUCCUGUUCUGUGCAUGCAGAUCUGCUGGUGAACCUCAGGGAAAAUUUGUUCUCAGGAAAAACCUCACACAAGUGCUUCUUAUUUUUGGCUCUGAAUCGAUCUGCUUAUCUCAUUUGUGGUAGGAAGUGAGAAGGUUGCAGAUGUUUCAUGGAAACAAAAAUACUGAUGCCAAAGAAUUGGAACUUCACAAAAA